rnacentral:sRNA from 1 species
CUGACGACAGUGAAGACUUAAUGUCCUUUAUCCACAGAACUGGUACAAUAGAGGCAGCAGCAGUGCACGUUUCCCUACAGUGUGUCUCCAAUAUUUUCCAACCUUGACCUGAAAGUGACAGAUACAGCAGCGCUCCUCCUGGACCCAUUCAGUCCUUUGCCUCU